AAGUCGUAACAAGGUUUCCGUAGGUGAACCUGCGGAAGGAUCAUUACUGAUUUGGCGGACCGAGCGUCAGCGAGGUUCCGCGAUCACCUGUAUUUAAAACCCACACUUUGAAUGUAAUAUGUAUAUUUUUGUAUUUUUUAAUAAUAAAAGAUCACUUUCAACAACGGAUCUCUUGGCUCUC
rnacentral:misc_RNA from 1 species